rnacentral:misc_RNA from 1 species
AAGUCGUAACAAGGUUUCCGUAGGUGAACCUGCGGAAGGAUCAUUAUUGAAUUCUUUCAAACCAUCUUUUUGUGCACUUAUAUAAACCAGCACUUUUCCUUGAACAGUCAGAUCUCUUCUUGAUAAGGGGAGGGGUUUGAUCAUGACUUUAAGGUUUAGAGCUUUAUCUCCUAAUCAUUUGAUUGUUGAAUGUGUCUGAUUGAUUUAUUAAUCAUUUUAAAACUUGCAACAACGGAUCUCUAGGCUCUCU